rnacentral:rRNA from 1 species
UAGGUAGGGCGUGAAAGCGUGUGGCUCAACCAUAUACACAUGUCCUAAACUACUAAGCUAGAAUAUAGAAGAGGUCGCUGGAAUUCCUUGUGUAGGAGUGAAAUCCGUAGAUAUAAGGAGGAACUCCGAUGGCGUGGGCAGGCGACUGGUCUAUUAUUGGCACUAAGGCACGAAAGCGUGGUAGCAAACGGGAUUAGAUACCCCGGUAGUCCACGCCGUAAACUAUGGAUGCUA